UACGUAGGGUGCGAGCGUUGUCCGGAAUUACUGGGCGUAAAGAGCUCGUAGGUGGUUUGUUGCGUCUGCCGUGAAAACCCGAGGCUUAACCUCGUGGCUUGCGGUGGAUACGGGCAGACUUGAGGUAGGUAGGGGAGAAUGGAAUUCCUGGUGUAGCGGUGGAAUGCGCAGAUAUCAGGAGGAACACCGGUGGCGAAGGCGGGUCUCUGGGCAGUAACUGACGCUGAGGAGCGAAAGCGUGGGGAGCGAACAGG
rnacentral:rRNA from 1 species